GGAGGACACAAGCCAGAUGGGAAGGUGGUGCUACGAGCCUGGCCUCGCUCUUUCAGCAGCACUGUUCCUGAGGAGAAACUAAGAGCAACACAAACAUCCAGUAACAGGAGAAUUGAGAAAUCAACCACAGCUCCCACAGCAGCAAGGGGUUUGCGGAAGAGAAGGUCUAGGAGGACCGACAACUUCUCUCCAACCUGCACAUCAGAGCUGGCCGGGCUCCCAGGGAAGUCGCAGAGCAUGAAUGGACUCCUUGCCCCACCCGCAACAAGCAGAGAAACAGCCAACACCGGGGACCUCCUCCUGGGUGGCCUCCAUGCUUAACCCUGCAGUUUCCACCUACAGAACAAGCACCAACUCCAGCCUGGAGACACCGAGCCAAGGGCCAACCUUGCCUUCUGUUCGCCCUGCACUGCCCAUCUAAAUCUCUGAGGGUUUUCUGUGCUGCACCUCAGGAUGUCUGAGCCCACAGGACACCGAGCCCAUCUGCGUGGAUCUGCGUAGCCCUCAGUGGGCUCUGAGCCCAGGCAGGUGGAGGAGGUGGUCUCUGCGGUGGAGGAGAGGCUUCAGCGGCACGUGAUGCGCCGAGGGGUGUGCCCAGCCUGGCGUGGAGCGGGGUAGGUGCUGGAUAAGUGGAUUCUGCUCCUCCGCUUUGGAGUUCCAGGAACAUCCAGAGGCUACAGCGGAGGCUGCGGGGCAAAGCCAGUGCCAAGGCUGCAGGGCUGGAAGAGGCCAGAGCAGAUACCCCCGUACCGGCUGCAGCACCAACAGGAGGGGCAGGUGCUGUGAGUGCCUCAGGGACCCCCACCUGGCCUACGCCCUGCUCCUGGGCCUCUGAGGGCUCCCUCCCCACCGCCUGCAGGAUCACAGCUCAGCUUCCUGGCUCAGCGCCUUUUCCUCCCGGUAAAAAAGAGAGAGAAAGAGAACCAUGUACAGCAUGGAAGCUUUUUGUCAAUUUCUUGACUGUGGCAAGAUUUUAAUCUGCUGCCUUAAAGAAUCCCUGAAAACC